UACGUAGGGUGCGAGCGUUAAUCGGAAUUACUGGGCGUAAAGCGUGCGCAGGCGGUUCGUUAAGUCAGAUGUGAAAGCCCCGGGCUCAACCUGGGAACGGCAUUUGAAACUGGCGGGCUGGAGUGUGGCAGAGGGGGGUGGAAUUCCACGUGUAGCAGUGAAAUGCGCAGAUAUCGGGAGGAACACCAAUGGCGAAGGCAGCUUGCUGGGACGGUACUGACGCUGAGGCGCGAAAGCGUGGGGAGCAAACAGG
rnacentral:rRNA from 1 species